rnacentral:lncRNA from 1 species
AGUAAUUACAUUGAAAAUCCCAGUCAAAAAGCACAUCACUUGCUCUAUAAAAAACAGUGUAAUCACAGUUCAAUUUAACUACAAAGAUACACUGGAAAUACAGUUUAAUAACUCUGAAAUUUCACUUAAAUGCCCAAUGUAAUUACAUUGAAAAUUCACAGUAAUUACAUACAGUGUGUUACUCUGAAUAUCCACUGAAAAAAUUACAUACACUGUAAUUACUCUGAAUAUACACUGUAAUUACACUGAAAAAACAUUGUACUUACACUGUAAUUACUCUAAAUAUACACUGUAAUUACACUGAAAAAACAUUGUACUUACAUUGUAAAAGACUAUGUAAUUGCAGUUCAAUUUGACUGCAAAAAAUACAACGGAAUACAGUAUAAUAUCUCUGAAAAUCCUCUUAAAUGCCCAUUGUAGUUAGACUAAGAAAUCAC